rnacentral:rRNA from 1 species
GUAACGCGUGGGGAUCUGCCUCGAAGUGGGGAAUAACCGCUGGAAACGGCGGCUAAUACCGCAUACGCCCCACGGGGGAAAGGCCGGGAUCUUCGGACCGGUCACUAUUGGAGGAGCCUGCGUAGGAUUAGCUAGUUGGUGAGGUAAAGGCUCACCAAGGCGACGAUCCUUAGCUGGUCUGAGAGGACGAUCAGCCACACUGGAACUGAGACACGGUCCAGACUCC